rnacentral:lncRNA from 1 species
CGUCCCUCGGUGACCCUAAAUUGAGCUUGUGUCCCUCGAUGUCCCUAAAUUGAGCUUAUGUCCCUCAGUGUCCCUAAAUUGAGCUUAUGUCCCUCGGUGUUCCUAAAUUGAACUUUUGUCCCUCGAUGUCCCUAAAUUGAGCUUAUGUCCCUCGUUGUCCAUAAAUUGAGCUUAUGUCCCUCGAUGUCCCUAAAUUGAGCUUAUGUCCCUCGAUGUCCCUAAAUGUAGCUUAUGUCCCUCGGUGUCCCUAAAUUGAGCUUAUGUCCCUUGAUGUCCAUAAAUUGAGCUUAUGUCCCUAAAUUGAACUUAUGUCCCUAAAUUGAACUUAUGUCCCUCGAUGUCCCUAAAUUGAGCUUAUGUCCCUCGUUGUCCCUAAAUUGAGCUUAUGUCCCUCGUUGUCCCUAAAUUGAGCUUAUGUCCUUCGAUGUCCCUAAAUUGAGCUUGUCCCUCGGUGUCCCUAAAUUGAUUCCAAACACGCUGAUAACAGGUAAAUCGCUUCUAUCAGUUCUUUCUUCAUGUGAAAGGAAGCAAAACAGCCACAU